CUGGGCAGCAACCUGCUGCUGUCGGAGAGCAGCGCCAGCGCAGCCCUGGAGAAGCAGGCGCUGCUGACCGGCCAGCUGGAGGAGCAGCUGAAGGACAAGGUCCGCGCCAUGAUCCAGCUGCAGGUCCGCUGCGACGUGGAGAAGGCGGAGCUGAGCAGCAGGGUUGGUGAGCUGUCUUCCAGCCUGGAGCGCGUGAAGGGCCAGAGCGCCGAGAAGGGCAAGACCAUCGAGACGCUGAUGCAGAAACUGCAGAGCCUGGAGGCGUCCUGCGCCCAGGAGCAGGCCGAGGCAGAGGAGGCGGAGGCCCUGCGGUCCGAGUCGGAGGUGCUGCAGCAGACACUGCGGGACAUCGCUCAGGUGCAGUGUGGCUGGUGGAGGGAGCGGCUCUCCCGGCCUGCCCCGAAGCGGGCCUGCUGGGGGGCACUGGGGGGCUGGCGGCCCCAUGACGUGUCUCAGGGG
rnacentral:lncRNA from 1 species